CCUACGGGGGGCAGCAGUGAGGAAUAUUGGUCAAAGGGCGCGAGCCUGAACCAGCCAAGUAGCGUGAAGGAUGACUGCCCUACGGGUUGUAAACUUCUUUUAUAAAGGAAUAAAGUGAGGCACGUGUGCCUUAUUGCAGGUACUGUAUGAAUAAGGACCGGCUAAUUCCGUGCCAGCAGCCGCGGUAAUACGGAGGAUCCGAGCGUUAUCCGGAUUUAUUGGGUUUAAAGGGAGCGUAGAUGGGUCGUUAAGUCAGUUGUGAAAGUUUGCGGCUCAACCGUGACAUUGCAACUGAUACUGGCAGUCUUGAGUGCAGUUGAGGUAGGCGGAAUUCGUGGUGUAGCGGUGAAAUGCUUAGAUAUCACGAAGAACUCCGAUUGCGAAGGCAGCUUACUGUACUGCCACUGACAUUGAGGCUCGAAGGUGUGGGUAUCGAACAGGAUUAGAUACCCCAGUAGUC
rnacentral:rRNA from 1 species